AAGGGAGACCUAAUUCAGGUAUAAGACGAAAAAAAAGUAGUCCCUACCAAGAAUCAAUCCCAAAAGGUCGGAACGAGGUAUGAGGCUUUCAAACUAGGUUCUGGGUUCAUAAAAGACCUGAAUCAGGAACAAGGGCUAUUAGCUCAGGUGGUUAGAGCGCACCCCUGAUAAGGGUGAGGUCCCUGGUUCGAGUCCAGGAUGGCCCACCUGCACAGGUGGCAAAAACAAGAGAAGCGAGGAAUCAGCACCUUAUCUUAUAUACAUAUAUAAGAGAGAAUGCUGGCUCUGAGUACAGAGUCCAGAGGAACCUUGAAAACUGCAUAGAGCUAGGCGAAAAAGCCAAAAAAGAAGACCGCAA
rnacentral:tRNA from 1 species